UUUCCGGUUGAUCCCGCCGGACCUGACUGCUAUCGGAUUGAUACUAAGCCAUGCGAGUCUUUGCAGUAAUGCAAGGCAUACGGCUCAGUAACACGUAGUCAACCUACCCUAUGGACGAGAAUAAUCUCGGGAAACUGAGCAUAAUUCUUGAUAGAUCAUAAUGCCUGGAAUGGUUUAUGGUUAAAAUGAUUCGUCGCCAUAGGAUGGGACUGCGGCCUAUCAGCUUGUUGGUGAGGUAAUGGCCCACCAAGGCGAUUACAGGUACGGGCUCUGAGAGGAGAAGCCCGGAGAUGGGUACUGAGACACGGACCCAGGCCCUAUGGGGCGCAGCAGGCGAGAAAACUUUGCAAUGUGCGAAAGCACGACAAGGUUAAUCCGAGUGAUUUCUGCUAAAGAAAUCUUUUGCCAGUCGUAAAACCGCUGGUGAAUAAGGGGUGGGCAAGUUCUGGUGUCAGCCGCCGCGGUAAAACCAGCACCUCAAGUGGUCAGGAUGAUUAUUGGGCCUAAAGCAUCCGUAGCCGGCUUUGUAAGUUUUCGGUUAAAUCCAUGUGCUCAACGCAUGGGCUGCCGAAAAUACUGCAUAGCUAGGGAGUGGGAGAGGUAGACGGUACUCAGUAGGUAGGGGUAAAAUCCUUUGAUCUAUUGAUGACCACCUGUGGCGAAGGCGGUCUACCAGAACACGUUCGACGGUGAGGGAUGAAAGCUGGGGGAGCAAACCGGAUUAGAUACCCGGGUAGUCCCAGCUGUAAACGAUGCAGACUAGAUGAUGCAUUGGCAUAAUAGCCAUUGCAGUGUCUCAGGGAAGCCGUUAAGUCUGCCGCCUGGGAAGUACGUACGCAAGUAUGAAACUUAAAGGAAUUGGCGGGGGAGCACCACAAGGGGUGAAGCCUGCGGUUCAAUUGGAGUCAACGCCGGGA
rnacentral:rRNA from 1 species